GCAGCCCGCGCGCGGCGGCGGGAGGGGCGGGAAGAUGGCGGCGGUCCCUGGGGGAGCGGAGCGCCGGCGGAGAGCGCACCGAGAGGCUGCCCGCGCCCGCUUCACCCGCCCAGCAGCCUUUGGUGGAGCCUCAUAAGAAUCAGUGGCGUGAAGCCUCCAGGAAGCUGCGUUCGUCCUGCCCCUCGUGUCCCUUAAGCAAGCUGAGAUGCUCGCGUGGAUAAGGCUGCAGGCCUGUGCUGGAAGAUGACAAACUGCCAGCAGCCCCUGAACCUGCUCAGGACGCUUUGGCAGGACGGGACACGAUGGGAUCCACGCCAGGGCACUGACUGAUGGCACCCUGCCAAAUCUCCAUUGUUUUUCAGGGUUUGGGGAGUCUGGACAGUCUCUGUUGAGUGGAAGGUGAUAAAUGUCCCAGUUCUCAAGCAGACUUAAGGAAGACCCUGCGUCCUACAAGCCUCUCAGUCCCACUUCAGUGUCUGUUGAAAUCCUGGAGGUUAUUUAGGGAGUUGCUGAAAACCCCCAGAGAAACAAUGCAGGCAGCAGUCACAGCCAGUGUAGGUCCCCCAGGGGAAGGUCCUGCUUCAUUUUCAUCCCCAUGUGGGAGAGGCUCAGGCACUGACUGCCCAGAGUCACAGAAUGGUCCAGGCUGGAAGGGCCCAUGGGAGCUCACCUGGUCCCAGCUGCCUGUGCCCUGCCAGCCCAGGGGACAGGGCUGUGCCAGACAGCUCUGAAACAUCUCCAGUAACAGACACUCCACUCCCUCUCUGGGCAGCCCAUGCCACUGUAGAAGGAAGUUUUUUGUGUUCAUUUGGGACUUCUUGGGCUCAGUCCCUGCCCCUGGCUCUGAAGCCAUUGCUGGGCUCUGAAGCAGAGCCUGGGCCUGGCUCUGAGCCCUCCUUGCACCCAGGGACACCCAGAGCUGAGGUCCUCUCAGCUGGAGUUCCUCUCCAGGCUGAGCAGCCCCAGCUCCCUCAGCCUUUCCUCACAAGGAGAUGGUCCAGGCCCUUCAGCAUCCUUACAGCCCCCACCAGAGCUGCUCCAGGAGCUCCAUGUUCCACAGGCACAGGGGGUAGGAUCCCUUCCCUCACACCACCAGGAACCCCCCUUGGCCCCUGGGCUGGUCAGGAGCAGAGCAGUCAGUGUCACUCUCUUCCACAGAGCUGCAGCCCAGCCUGGUGCCUGGGGUUGUUCCUCCUCAGCUGCAGGAGCCUGCUCUGGUCUGUGCUGUAUUCCAGAAGGUUCCUCUGCCUCGGUCAGGGAUCAGCUCCCCUCCCAGCUCUGUGUCAGCUAUCCUUGGGAAGGCAGUAGAUGGGGUGGGUUGGGGUUUUAGCAAAGCUUUUGGUACCAUCUCCAGUACUCUCUUGGGUUAGCCCUCACACAGCUCCACCCUUUGCAUGGGUGAGCAGGCAGUGCCAGCUCAAGCUGAAAGGACUACAGCAAAUGGGGUCACAUCAGGAAUGGCCCAAAAUGGCUCUCCCUGUAUCCAGUCUAGUUUUCCCAGAAUUUCCAGGGAUGUUGGGGAAGGGGCUGGGACAUCCAGACAGGCAGGAAGCUCCAAAACUCCCAUGAUUUGGGUGGCUGGAUAUGGCAGCAAAGCUGGGAUGAGGCUGGAAUGAAAGGAGACCCCUCCAAAUCCAGGGAAAAGGGGGAGAAAAGCCCUUUAUUACCUUGGAACUGGAUUUUCCAGGGCAGGGAAAAGGGACAGUCACCAGUGGGGUUACACAGGGCUCUGUUUGAGGGCUGGUGCUCUUGAAUGUUUUUAUAAAUGCUCCAAAUCCAGGAAUUUACCAUACAUUAAGCAGGUUUGCCAACAAGAGUGACUAGAAGGGGCUGUGGAGCCCCAAAAGGCCCUUACAGGGAGCUGGGCAGUCACAACCUGUGUGAAAUCCAACAGCAACAGUUCUGGACUUUGCACCUGGGACAGGGCUGGACAAUCUGGGGGAUGAGAGGCUGGAGAGCAGCCCAGCAGACAGACCUGGGAGUUGGCAGCAACUUCAGGAGGAGCCAUCAGUGGCAGCAAGAGGAGCUGACUCUGCCCUGGGUACAGCUGAGGGAUGGGAUUGUCCUGCUCUGCACUGGGGCUGGAGCUCUGUGUUACCACUAACAGGGCUGGGAGCAAAACUGUGGGGAGAACAGGUCAAAAGAGAGAACAUGGAGCAAAACUGUGGAGAGAAGAGGUGAAAAGCCAUUUCCCAUCCCAUAAAAAUUUUAACCAUCUUUCAUUUUCAAAGGCUCUGUGUUUGUUUGGCUGACAGCAGCAGCUCAGACCUAACUCCUUGGCAAAUGCACUGCUGGCAAUCCAGGGAAAAGCCCCAGGAGCAGAAAGCAGGGUAUGAUACAGGGCUGGCAUCCAGCCAAGAGGAUGGGGCAGGGCUCUGCCAGCAGUGCCCAGCAACAGGAGGAGGAGCAACAGCCAGAAAGUAAAACACAAGAAAUCUCCCCUCAAGAUGAGGAAGAAUUUCUUCACACUGAGGGUGGCAAAGCACGGGAGCAGGUGCCCAGGGAGAGUGUGGAAUUUCCUGCUCUGGGGACAUUCCAAACUUACCAGGACACAUUCCUGUGAUGACUGCUCCAUGUGACCCUGCUCUGACAGGGAACUGAAUGAUCUCCAGAGGUCUUUUCCAACCACAGCUACUUUGGGAUUUUGUGAUUCCUGCAGGAGCACAGACCCUGCUGUUUCUGCUGCCAUGAGCUGCAGCAUCACCCUGGCUCCACUGAGCAUCACCCCAGCCAGACUUCUGCUUCAGUGGGAAGCACAAGAGCCCUGCACAGGGCAGAGACAAGGGCAUCUCUGCUGCCUUCACCUCCUCCAGCUCUGACACACAACUGCUGCACCCAAAACCUCCCAGGCUAUUUCUCACAAGCACCUGCAGCCUCCUGCCUUCAAGGGCCCCAAGAGGAACAACAGACAGCUUCUACAUUUAUUAUUACAGUUUAACAUAGUCUUGGACAGAGGAGAGGCAGCAGAAACCAACAUGCAAAGCAAUUAAAAGUCCCCAGGAGCUCGAGGAACACCAGCCACAGCUCAGCUCCUGGACCUGCUCCCAGCAGGGUCUCUGGGGGCCCUUUCCCUGCAGCUGCUGCUCCAUCGUGCCCCAGAGCGGGACGAGGUGAUGGCAGACACCAAACCUACACACACAGAAGAGAGGACGGGCCUGGGAUUGUGUCUCAGUGAGCCAGGUCCAGUAUCUGACUGGAAUCCAG